GACGAACGCUGGCGGCGUGCUUAACACAUGCAAGUCGAACGGAAAGGCCCUGCUUUUGUGGGGUGCUCGAGUGGCGAACGGGUGAGUAACACGUGAGUAACCUGCCCUUGACUUUGGGAUAACUUCAGGAAACUGGGGCUAAUACCGGAUAGGAGCUCCUGCUGCAUGGUGGGGGUUGGAACGUUUCGGCGGCUGGGGAUGGACUCGCGGCUUAUCAGCUUGUUGGUGGGGUAGUGGCUUACCCAGGCUUUGACGGGUAGCCGGCCUGAGAGGGUGACCGGCCACAUUGGGACUGAGAUACGGCCCAGACUCCUACGGGAGGCAGCAGUGGGGAAUAUUGCACAAUGGGCGGAAGCCUGAUGCAGCAACGCCGCGGGCGGGAUGGCGGCCUUCGGGUUGUAAACCGCUUUCGCCUGUGACGAAGCUUGAGUGACGGUAAUGGGUAAAGAAGCACCGGCUAACUACGUG
rnacentral:rRNA from 1 species